rnacentral:rRNA from 1 species
CCGCGGUCCAUUAAUCCUGAGAUGUGAUGCCGAGCCGAUUGUGGCGAAGUGGGUGAUCCUAUGCUGCCGAGAAAAGCCUCUAGUGAGUGUCGUGGCGGCCCGUACCCCAAACCGACUCAGGUGGUCAGGUAGAGAAUACCAAGGCGAUCGGGUGAACUGUGGUUAAGGAACUCGGCAAAUUGCCCCCGUAACUUCGGGAGAAGGGGGGCCUCCGCUGGUGAUCAGACUUGCUUUGUGAGCUGGUGGGGGUCGCAGAGGCCAGGGGGAAGCGACUGUUUACUAAAAACACAGGUCCGUGCGAAGUCGUAAGACGAUGUAUACGGACUGACGCCUGCCCGGUGCUGGAACGUUAAGGGGACCGGUUAGCGCACUUCGGUGUGCGAGGCUGAGAACUUAAGCGCCAGUAAACGGCGGUGGUAACUAUAACCAUCCUAAGGUAGCGAAAUUCCUUGUCGGGUAAGUUCCGACCUGCACGAAUGGCGUAACGACUUCCCCGCUGUCUCAACCGCAGACCCGGCGAAAUUGCACUACGAGUAAAGAUGCUCGUUACGCGCAGCAGGACGGAAAGACCCCGGGACCUUCACUACAGCUUGACAUUGGCGUUUGGAACGUCUUGUGUAGGAUAGGUGGGAGACUGUGAAGCUGUCACGCUAGUGGCGGUGGAGUCAUUGGUGAAAUACCACUCUGGUCGUUUUGAACGUCUAACUUCGGUCCGUGAUCCGGAUCAGGGACAGUGUCUGGUGGGUAGUUUAACUGGGGCGGUUGCCUCCUAAAGAGUAACGGAGGCGCCCAAAGGUUCCCUCAGCCUGGUUGGUAAUCAGGUGUCGAGUGUAAGUGCACAAGGGAGCUUGACUGUGAGACCGACGGGUCGAGCAGGAGCGAAAGCUGGGACUAGUGAUCCGGCGGUGGCAUGUGGAAGCGCCGUCGCUCAACGGCUAAAAGGUACCCCGGGGAUAACAGGCUGAUCUUCCCCAAGAGUCCAUAUCGACGGGAUGGUUUGGCACCUCGAUGUCGGCUCGUCGCAUCCUGGGGCUGGAGUAGGUCCCAAGGGUUGGGCUGUUCGCCCAUUAAAGCGGUACGCGAGCUGGGUUUAGAACGUCGCGAGACAGUUCGGUCCCUAUCCGCUGCGCGCGCAGGAGACUUGAAAGGAGCUGUCCCUAGUACGAGAGGACCGGGACGGACGAACCUCUGGUGUGCCAGUUGUUCCGCCAGGAGCAUGGCUGGUUGGCUACGUUCGGAAGGGAUAACCGCUGUAAGCAUCUAAGCGGGAAGCUCGCCUUGAGAUGAGGUCUCCCACCACGAAAGUGGGUAAGGCCCCCGGGAGACGACCGGGUUGAUAGGCCGGAGGUGGAAGCAUGGUAACGUGUGAGCUGACCGGUACUAAUAGGCCGAGGACUUGAUCAA